CGGGACGGGUGAGUAAUGUCUGGGAAACUGCCUGAUGAGGGGGAUAACUACUGGAAACGGUAGCUAAUACCGCAUAACGUCGCAAGACCAAAGAGGGGGACCUUCGGGCCUCCUGCCAUCGGAUGUGCCCAGAUGGGAUUAGCUAGUAGGUGGGGUAACGGCUCACCUAGGCGACGAUCCCUAGCUGGUCUGAGAGGAUGACCAGCCACACUGGAACUGAGACACGGUCCAG
rnacentral:rRNA from 1 species